CGUUCCAGCGCUUGGUGGCAGCGUUUUGCCAUCUGCAGGGUGAGGGAAGGGAUUCCUGCCUCGUUCAGGUGCAAAAGGCUGCCUGCUGAAUCGCCUCCGAAUGAUGGCGAGAGUUUGAGAGCACAGCUGUGACUUUACGUCUGAGAACGAUGCCGUCGCUGUGGUGUUGCUUUCAGAGCACACCCAGUUCUUUCUCAAUAGGCAAUAAUGACUCCGGGCAGCUCAUUUAAGGCAGACGCUGCCCGCCCGCAUCGUUCCGCUCUGCACGAGCCGAAGCCACGCAAAGCAACACCCGUGCGGGCUGCGGCCGGCGGGGCUGGGAUCGGAGACGGCCCCAAUGACUCACAGGGCUGCAUGGGAAUGGAUGAAAGCAGCAGCACGCGUUGGAAGGGAGCGGUCGGCGGGGAGCGGAGCUGCUUGCCAAGUGCUCUGAGUCAGAGCGUGGGCCGGCGUAGGAGGCUGCAUCUGGGGGUGUCGGACUGAGACAGACGCGCAGAGAUGGCUGCAAUUAAGCAUGGAGCGACAUGGCUGCGGGAGUAACGCGCGUUUAAAGUGAUCACCCUGUCUGCUGUGCUGCUGGGGCGGGUGGCUGCUGGGUGCCUUUGGAGCCCACCAUACCAGGGGAGUUCAAGGGGAGCCUUGGAGUUGUCUGCUGCCUGCGUCCCCUGCAGCAGGUGUGUGGGGAGGGGGGAAUGCACUCCCUGCCAUGGGCAUCCUGGAGCUGCUGGUCGUGGGGCCAGUGAGAGCUGAGAUGUCAAGUUAGAAACCACUGCAGGGGGUGUGGAAGCUCUGCCAGAGCUGUUUCAGUACGAGAUGUUUUUCUUCAUCUGUUUGGUUUCAUUGCAAGUCUCUCCUCUUGCUUGAGGCUGGUGGGGGAAAAAAUCCUCUUGCUGUUGUUUUUUUACAGAUGAGUCAUCUCUAUUUCGAGGUGUUGCAGGUCAGCCUGAUGGAGCUCAUGCUUGUGUAGGUUGACCUGCAGGUGCUUGGCACUCUGAGUGAGGAUGCUGAACAUCAGAGCUCCCACACUCUCAUGGGGUCAUUGCAAAUCCAUUUGUAUGAUGCGUCCACCUUGCUUGUUCCCCUCCUGGAACAAAAACAAAGCAUCAGUUGACGGGAAUUGUGGAAGGGCUGCUCACUUGAGAAGGAAAAGGGAAAGAACAUCAUCACUGAGGAAGAUUUCCAUCCUUAUGAACUGUGGUGCUCAGUGUCUGUAUUGCAUGGCGUUACAGCUGUCCUCAUGUGCUUCACUUCUGCUCACAAGACUGCAUGGUCCAGCAGCUGCUUGCCUGGACAGUCAGCACAGGCCAUAUGCCCUUAUUGGCAGCUGAGGGACUGAACCUGAAGGCAGGCAGUGCUGGCUUGUCCAGAGAUGGGAGGCGAGUCUCUGAAGCCUGCACUGCAACCACAGUGCAGAGUUCAUGAUUGUCAGUGCUGCUGAGGUCUGUUUGGCUGCGGUCAAUUUGGUCUCUGCUAAGGAAGUGGUGGCAGAUGUUUGGGGCAGGAUCCUGACACAGCUUGGAAGGGUCUCUUCCUGGAGAUGGUGCUUGGAAGGCAGUGGAAAUUAGCAGAGCUGGUGUGCAGCCAUGCUGAGCUUUUUGUGGUUAUGUGACUGAGAGCAGACUGGGGCUCUGUAGGUUUCCACUGAGGAAGACUAGCUGUUCAAGUAUCUUAGAACGUGAUGUAGUGCCUGUCUGGAACUUGGAAAUUGCUCUGAGAUGAGCAAUGGUUAUCUGACUGCUAUGUUUGCUCACUGUUCGCAUUUGGGAAAGGGAUGCUUUAUGAAUGCAGUGCUGCUGAAUGCAAAGAAACCCCACCUGGCAUUUGUGAACAGACCUGAAUAUCCUUGACUAUCCGGGUGCACAUCAGUGGUAGGGCAUUUUUGCCCUGUGUAAGUAAUGGUUGGCAUUAGGCAGAAGGGUGGCAUGUUCUGCUAGGGGCAUGGAUAGCCAAAAGCAGCUUCUUGGGAUGCUACCAAGGUCUGCUAUGAAGGUGCAAGAUACCUAUUGGUAGUCCCAGCCAUCCCCCAGCUGAAAGGCAGCUCUGCCUUGCCAUCAAGACCUCAGACUCCAGGUGGCUCUGAGGCAGGGGCAGGCUUGUUCUGGGUGCCCCUUGUUGCCCUGUGCCCCAGCAAGGGGAGAUGUGAUGUCAUCUGGGACAACAUCUCAUUUCCACGUGACGUCUGCUGGUAGAAACGUGGCAUGGCCCACCCUCAAAACCAGAUACCUGCCUUGUGUAUAUCUAUUGUACCAUAUAUGUUGGUACGAUAUAUAGUGCAACUCUUCCAGAUUGCCCAUGUCGGGGCUCUCAGUGCUCUGAGUCAGGAUUCUCACAGUUCUGACUCACCACGGCAGGCUGGAAGGUAUUUCUCUCUCCAACUGGUGGGCUUGGCUGGUUGUGCAGAAGAUGAGCUUUCUUGGAAGGUACAAACUAAACGAAUGGCUCUUCACGUUAUCCGGGUGGCAACAGGGAUUGUUCUGAAUGGGAACCAAUGAAACCCAGCCUAACGCCGCUGCUUGGAAGAAAGGCAGCCAGCUUUUUGCAUCCAAAGGUUUUGAACCUCACGACAUUUUAUUUGAUGCUCAUAAUAAAAGGAUAAAGCAUGAGGUCAGCUUUGUGCAACCUCUGCCCAUUGCGGUACCAUUCCGCUGAGCUGCAUUUUGGGAGGAGGUGAUGGAGAGCAGCAGAGCAGCCAGCCUUGUGAAUGGGGCUUUGCUGGUGGCUGUGUGUGCUGAGCAAAGCCCUAACAACAUCUGCUGUGCUGCAGGAGGGCACAUGGACGUGCCAGCUUUCUGUUCUGUCUGGGGAAACAAGGUUGGAACAGGGCAGGAACUGCAGGCGCUUUUAUGGGGAACAAGGAUGUAUGAAUCCAGCAAAGCUUGCUCUUAAAUCCGGGAUUGCUCUGAGACCAUCACGUGCCCCCAGUGUGCCCUCAGAGCUGCAGGUGUUGGUUUGCAGUGAGGCAGUGCUCUUUCAGUGGCUGUUUAAGCAGCGUAUCGUUCAACAAACAGCAGCUGCGUGCAGCCACAUCAAGCUAAAUCAUUCUUCUAAAAGGUUCAGUUGUCAGGUAUUCAUUAAGGUGGGUUUCAUGUUGAAAUGAUAGUCACUAAUACUGUGCAAAUAUCUGUGACAGCUCUCAGGUUUUUUAUGGUGCAUUGCAGGAUUGCCAGAUCCCCACUGGGAGGAAGAUGUUCUCGUGGGCCUGCAUUUCCUGUGGCCCUUCCUAAGAAAAUGAGUGCUGUACAUCAGUGCCACGUGCAGGAGGAGGAAUGGCUGUGCUGUAAGGCUUUCAUGUGAACAGGGUGAGGUGGAAUCAUAUCAUGGAAUCACAGGAUGGCCUGGGUUGCAAAGGCCCACAGUGCUUAUCAGUUCCAACCCCCUGCUAUGUGCAGGGUUGCCAGCCGGCAGACCAGGCUGCCCAGAGCCACAUUCAGCCUGGCAUUAAAUGCCGGUAGGGAUGGGGCAUCCACACCUCCUUGGAAAGCCUAUUCCCAUGGAUGUGGUGCAGGGCUCAGCUCUCUGCCACUCAGACGGGUGCCCAAGUGCAGACUUAAGCACCGCACUUCAGCCCAGAUAUUUCUGCAGAUCCUGGCCCUGGCUUGCCAGUGGUGUCGAGGAGCAAAUGGCUCUCACUGGUGAUGUGGGACAGCUCUUUGUGCUGCAGUGUCGAAGCUAUCAAUCAGAAACGCCAGCUGUGUCUCUUUAGGCUCAGCAGAGGUGAAUGUGCAGUGAUGGGCACAGCUUUGCGGAGGCAGGGAGAAAGCAGGCACUCCUUUGGGCAGCAUGGCGCUUCCAUGGCUUGAUGUGUUAUUUUCCCAUGGCUUUUGGGAAGACCAGCUGCCCGUUCAUGUUGCUUACCAGCAAAAGAAGUCACCUGAUGUUAUUCUAUGUACACUUAGGCUGUAAAUGGUGCCAUUCAGCACUUGCUGCCACAGUCUCCCACCCCAAGCUCUGGAUGCAAUGGAUGAGAGUGUUGCAGCCACACCAACAGGAUGCAAAAUGGCUGCAAUCAGCAGUGUUACUUAAAUCCAGAGGGAAGAAGCUGCUGUGCCCUCAUUUGCCCCCCAUCAAUGAAGCAGCUGGGCUGGCAUGGGGAGCUGCCAACGCCAUCAACAGCUGCUCAGAAGAGUUUGAAUGGAGUUUGUGUUUAUUGGAGAAACAGGAGGGACAUCCAUUGCUUGGUUUGCUGCUUGCAUUGCUGAAAUUGAGCUGUACGUCCUAUAGCAAAGCAUCCCAGUGUCGGUCGGAUGGUCCCUUUUCGGUAGGUUAAUGGGGUGCAGCCUUCUGUGUGACCGAGUAGGGCUGUGAUGCAGGAAGGAACGGAGUUGGCAGCGUUUAAGCUGGAAACCGAGCAGGAAAGGCAAUCCGCGAGCGCCCCCUGCUGGUCUAUAGAAGGAGUGCAGAAGGAAACGUCGCAUUGCUGGAGGAAAGAGGUAUUUUGGGGAGCAAAGUGGUAUUUUGGGGGAGAUGUCAUAUUUGGUGGAGAAAAGUGGUGUUUUGUGGGAGACAAUGCCACAUUUGGGGGAGAAAGUGGCUAUUUUGAGAAGGGAAUGGAAUUUUUGAAAGAAAAGUGCUAUUUUGGGGGGAGAAAGUAUCAUUUUGGGGAGAAAGUUGCUAUUUUGCAGGAGGAAUGUCAUUUUGGGAAGAAAAGUGGUAUUUUGGGGCAAAAAUGUCAGAUUGUUUUGAGAACAAGUGGCAUUUUGGGGUGCAAAUGGCUUAUUUUUGAAAGAGAAGUGGUAUUUUGGGGAGUAAGUGCCCUAUUUUGGGGAGGAAAGUGGUAUUUUGGGGGAGAAAACUUGAUAUUUUCAGGGGAAAGUUUAUAUUAUGCAGGAGAAUCUGUCCUAUUGGCUGGAGAAAAGUAGGAUUUUCAGGAGAUAGGGCAUUUUCUCCCCAAAAUUCCUUCUUUGCUCCAAAAAUAUGAUAUUUUCUCCCCCCAAUUAGGACAUUUCUCCUGCAAAGUACCACUUUUCUCCCCAAAAUAUGAACCUUGCUUGCCCAGAAUACCACUUCUCACCCCAAAGUAGGACAUCUGUUCACCAAAAUGUGAUCCUUCUCCCCCAAAAUGCCACUUCUCUACCCAAAUUGUAUAUUUUCUCCCCAAAAUACCACUUCUCUCCCAAGAAAUAGGACAUUUUCACCGCAAAAUACCACUCUUAUCCCCAAAAUAUGACAUUUUCUCUCCCCAAAUUAGAUGUUUUCUCUCUGAAGUAUGACUUUUCUCCAAAAUAGAUGCCAUUUUCUCCCCCAAAAUACCACUUUUUCUCCCCCAGAAUAUGACAUCUCCCACAAAAUACCACUUUUCUUCCCAAAAUAAGACAUUUUCACCCCAAAAUCCCACUUUUCUCCCCAAAAUAGAACAUUUUCUCCCCCAAAAUACCACUUUUCUCCCAAAAAUGUCUUUUUCAUUGCCAAAACACAACUUUUCUCCAGAAGAUAAAAUACUGUAGCCACAAAAUACCACCUUUAUCACCAGAAAAUGAGACAUUUUCCCCAUCACAUCCAAUUGUCUGCCCUCCCCUUCCCCAUCUCCCCUAUUAAGAUGUGUAAUAAACUGCUUGGACCAACACCUGAACACCUGCUUCUGAACUUCAUGCCAGGUGUGCAGAUAUCAAAGAACCUCCUCUUCCUCCUAGCAAUUGGAGUGAGGCAAUGUGUCACUGGUGGGUCACUUAUGAGUCGCAUAUGGGGCACUGUGGGUCAGUUGUGGGGCACUUAUGGGGCACAAUGUGUCCUUUAUGGGGUAGUAUGGCUCACUGAGGGUCACUUAUGGGGCACAGAUGAGGACGUCCUGGACACAUGGUUCUCCUCCGGGCCCCACUGAUCAUGCUGUGCCCCACUGAUAACCCUGAGCCCCACUGCUCCCAUUGCUGACUCUGCUCUGUGUUCCCAGCCCAGAACUGCCCACAGCACUCAUGGAGCACCUGGCGUUGGUUGCUGCCAGCCCAGGGAGCACAGGUGCAAGCAAUGAAGCAGGGGGUGGGACAGGGUGGAGCCAGGCUGCAUCCCACCCUGAGCUCAUGGAGGGGCUGGAAGCUGAAGGGUUUGUGCCUGGGGGUUGCUCUGAUGUUGGGUCAGGGGAGUGCUGAGCCUGUUGUUAGUUUGUUGUUAAUUAUUGAUUGUCUUUAUGUUUGUUUUCUGUGGAUGCUGAUGGCAGUGGUUUUUCUGAGCCUUGGAAGGACUCUGCUGAGGGGCUUGAAGGAUCCAGCAAGGAGCCAUAGCAAAGAACGGCGCUCUCUAGCCAUCCUUCCUGGUGUCAGGCAAGCUCUAUUGCUCUUCAAGCCUGUGUUGGCACUUGCGGAGUUUCUGUAGGCUUGGGCUCACCUUGCCUUGGUACUCUCUGAGCUUUCUCUGCUCAUUCCCUAGGCUUUCCAUCAACUUCUCUAGAGGUUUUCAAGCAUCUGUGUCCGUUGGAACAACAGGAGGUGCUGAAGAACUGCAGAGCAGUGCAAGGCCUCUGCUGUGGAUCUUGGUGCUGACAUUGCCAUUGCAACUGGCUUGGUGCUCCUCCUCUUUUGGAUCCCUUUUUGCCCUCCUCUCCUCUAUGCUCAUUUGCUCUCCUCUCUUGGGUCCCCUUUUGCCCUGCUCUCCCCUGUGCCUUUUUGUCGUCUUCACUGCCUUUUGAAUUUUAUUUCCCUGACCACCUGUUGGCCCUUUCCUGACCCCCUUUACCUUGCAUCACCCCUUUGCCUUUAUUUUUUUUCCAUCUUUUUCUAUUUAUUUUUCAUUUUCUGUAUCUUUUCUUACUCUUCCCAUUUCCCAGCCCAUUUCAUUUGCUUCUUUUUCCCUUUCAGGUCCCACCCACCUGCCCCCCCCCCCUCCCCCCCUUUUUUAAGUAUUCUUUUCCUUUGAUUUUUCUUACUCUAAUUUUAAUUUUUUUCCUUUUCUGUUUCUCUUAAAUAUUUGUUUCCUUGCUGGCCCAACGGGAACUGUUAGGUGUGGGCCUGAAGCAGUGAUGGAGCACCUGGUGGGAGUGUGGACAGCCCAGGGAGCACAGGUGGAAGCAAUUCUUCUGUGGAGUGAGAUGGGGUGGAGCCAGGCUGCAUCCCCCUCUGAGCUCAUGGAAGGGCUGGCAGUCACAGGGGAAGGAUCUGUGCCUGGAUGCUGCCAUUUGUGUUGUGUUGGGCGAGUCCUGAGCCUUGGGAAGGGUUGAGGAGUUGUUUGUUUGCUCAUUCAUGAUUGUCUCUGUGUGUUUUUGUUCGGGAGGUGGUUGCAGAUGCCAGGAGUUUUCCUGAGUGGUGCAAGGACUCUACUGAGGAUCUUAGUGGACCCAGCGAGGAACCAAAGCAAAGGAUGGACCCCAAUAUCCUUGCUGCAUGACGGCAGGCUGGAAAUGUACACCUGAUGGGAUCUAUGAUGACCCAAAUGCAGUCUAGGAAGGUUUGACCAAGUGUGGUGGGAAAGGAAGAGGAUUGGGGAUGUCAGCACCAGAUGCCGUUGCACUUUGUGACCUACCCGCCUUGCGUCUUUGAUGUGCCCAGAUCAUUGGAAAGGGUGAAUGCCUCUUUGGAGAUACAGUGACUGAAAUGUAAACUGUUGUUCUUUGACCAAGUGUAAUGGAAAAUGAAGAAGUAGGCUCCACUACAGCUAUCGUAUUCGCUGUCCUAGUCGAAGCGGGAAGGACUAUUUUGAGUAUUUGUCACUGCCCACUUGGCAAUCACAAUUUAGGAGCCGCUUUUGUGGAUGCGUUGCUGCAGGGCAAAGAAGGCCUCAAACCCCCUUUGCAGACCUCUACCCCCAAGAGAGUUCUGAAACUUAUGUUAAGAAAAGAAAUUGCUUAAUAUUUUUCUGUCUUGUAUAGUUUUAACUGUUGCUUUAGCUUGGCCAGAAAAUAGGUAUGUAAAGCUAAUAGAAAAUCUUGCCAAAGCUUUUGGUGUUUCAGAUAGUUGGGUUUGUAUGUCUCUCCCAAGAAGUGUAGGAAAUAUGUCGAUUUACACAGCAGUUGCACUAAAUUGGACAAUACUGGAUUAUGUAACAAAUCAGAUGGAAAACAAUGGUGGAAACUGUAAAUGCGUGG
ensembl:lncRNA